GGGUUGUGAGGUUAAGCGACUAAGCGUACACGGUGGAUGCCCUGGCAGUCAGAGGCGAUGAAGGACGUGCUAAUCUGCGAAAAGCGUCGGUAAGGUGAUAUGAACCGUUAUAACCGGCGAUGUCCGAAUGGGGAAACCCAGUGCAAUUCGUUGCACUAUCGUUAACUGAAUACAUAGGUUAACGAGGCGAACCGGGGGAACUGAAACAUCUAAGUACCCCGAGGAAAAGAAAUCAACCGAGAUUCCCCCAGUAGCGGCGAGCGAACGGGGAGCAGCCCAGAGUCUGAAUCAGCUUGUGUGUUAGUGGAACGGUCUGGAAAGUCCGACGGUACAGGGUGAUAGUCCCGUACACCAAAAUGCACAGGUUGUGAACUCGAAGAGUAGGGCGGGACACGUGGUAUCCUGUCUGAAUAUGGGGGACCAUCCUCCAAGGCUAAAUACUCCUGACUGACCGAUAGUGAACCAGUACCGUGAGGGAAAGGCGAAAAGAACCCCGGCGAGGGGAGUGAAAAAGAACCUGAAACCGUGUACGUACAAGCAGUGGGAGCACCUUCGGGUGUGACUGCGUACCUUUUGUAUAAUGGGUCAGCGACUUAUAUUCUGUAGCAAGGUUAACCGUAUAGGGGAGCCGCAGGGAAACCGAGUCUUAACUGGGCGUUAAGUUGCAGGGUAUAGACCCGAAACCCGGUGAUCUAGCCAUGGGCAGGUUGAAGGUUGGGUAACACUAACUGGAGGACCGAACCGACUAAUGUUGAAAAAUUAGCGGAUGACUUGUGGCUGGGGGUGAAAGGCCAAUCAAACCGGGAGAUAGCUGGUUCUCCCCGAAAGCUAUUUAGGUAGCGCCUCGUGAACUCAUCUUCGGGGUAGAGCACUGUUUCGGCUAGGGGGUCAUCCCGACUUACCAACCCGAUGCAAACUACGAAUACCGAAGAAUGUUAUCACGGGAGACACACGGCGGGUGCUAACGUCCGUCGUGAAGAGGGAAACAACCCAGACCGCCAGCUAAGGUCCCAAAGUCAUGGUUAAGUGGGAAACGAUGUGGGAAGGCACAGACAGCCAGGAUGUUGGCUUAGAAGCAGCCAUCAUUUAAAGAAAGCGUAAUAGCUCACUGGUCGAGUCGGCCUGCGCGGAAGAUGUAACGGGGCUAAACCAUGCACCGAAGCUGCGGCAGCGACACUAUGUGUUGUUGGGUAGGGGAGCGUUCUGUAAGCCUGCGAAGGUGUGCUGUGAGGCAUGCUGGAGGUAUCAGAAGUGCGAAUGCUGACAUAAGUAACGAUAAAGCGGGUGAAAAGCCCGCUCGCCGGAAGACCAAGGGUUCCUGUCCAACGUUAAUCGGGGCAGGGUGAGUCGACCCCUAAGGCGAGGCCGAAAGGCGUAGUCGAUGGGAAACAGGUUAAUAUUCCUGUACUUGGUGUUACUGCGAAGGGGGGACGGAGAAGGCUAUGUUAGCCGGGCGACGGUUGUCCCGGUUUAAGCAUGUAGGCUGGUUAUCCAGGCAAAUCCGGAUAAUCAAGGCUGAGGUGUGAUGACGAGGCACUACGGUGCUGAAGUAACAAAUGCCCUGCUUCCAGGAAAAGCCUCUAAGCAUCAGGUAACAUCAAAUCGUACCCCAAACCGACACAGGUGGUCAGGUAGAGAAUACCAAGGCGCUUGAGAGAACUCGGGUGAAGGAACUAGGCAAAAUGGUGCCGUAACUUCGGGAGAAGGCACGCUGGUGUGUAGGUGAAGUCCCUGCGGAUGGAGCUGAGACCAGUCGAAGAUACCAGCUGGCUGCAACUGUUUAUUAAAAACACAGCACUGUGCAAACACGAAAGUGGACGUAUACGGUGUGACGCCUGCCCGGUGCCGGAAGGUUAAUUGAUGGGGUUAUCCGUAAGGAGAAGCUCUUGAUCGAAGCCCCGGUAAACGGCGGCCGUAACUAUAACGGUCCUAAGGUAGCGAAAUUCCUUGUCGGGUAAGUUCCGACCUGCACGAAUGGCGUAAUGAUGGCCAGGCUGUCUCCACCCGAGACUCAGUGAAAUUGAACUCGCUGUGAAGAUGCAGUGUACCCGCGGCAAGACGGAAAGACCCCGUGAACCUUUACUAUAGCUUGACACUGAACAUUGAGCCUUGAUGUGUAGGAUAGGUGGGAGGCUUUGAAGCGUGGACGCCAGUCUGCGUGGAGCCAACCUUGAAAUACCACCCUUUAAUGUUUGAUGUUCUAACGUUGGCCCCUGACCGGGGUUGCGGACAGUGUCUGGUGGGUAGUUUGACUGGGGCGGUCUCCUCCCAAAGCGUAACGGAGGAGCACGAAGGUUAGCUAAUCCUGGUCGGACAUCAGGAGGUUAGUGCAAUGGCAUAAGCUAGCUUGACUGCGAGCGUGACGGCGCGAGCAGGUGCGAAAGCAGGUCAUAGUGAUCCGGUGGUUCUGAAUGGAAGGGCCAUCGCUCAACGGAUAAAAGGUACUCCGGGGAUAACAGGCUGAUACCGCCCAAGAGUUCAUAUCGACGGCGGUGUUUGGCACCUCGAUGUCGGCUCAUCACAUCCUGGGGCUGAAGUAGGUCCCAAGGGUAUGGCUGUUCGCCAUUUAAAGUGGUACGCGAGCUGGGUUUAGAACGUCGUGAGACAGUUCGGUCCCUAUCUGCCGUGGGCGCUGGAGAAUUGAGGGGGGCUGCUCCUAGUACGAGAGGACCGGAGUGGACGCAUCACUGGUGUUCGGGUUGUCAUGCCAAUGGCACUGCCCGGUAGCUAAAUGCGGAAGAGAUAAGUGCUGAAAGCAUCUAAGCACGAAACUUGCCCCGAGAUGAGUUCUCCCUGAGACUAUAAGUCUCCUGAAGGAACGUUAAAGACGAUGACGUUGAUAGGCCGGGUGUGUAAGCGCAGCGAUGCGUUGAGCUAACCGGUACUAAUGAACCGUGAGGCUUAACCUUACAACGCCGAAG
rnacentral:rRNA from 1 species